rnacentral:rRNA from 1 species
CGUUAUCCGGAUUUAUUGGGUUUAAAGGGUGCGUAGACGGCACGGCAAGUCAGUGGUGAAAUCCCGCAGCUCAACUGCGGAACUGCCAUUGAAACUACCAGCCUCGAGUACGGUUGAAGUGGGUGGAAUGUGUCAUGUAGCGGUGAAAUGCAUAGAUAUGACACAGAACGCCGAUAGCGGAGGCAGCUCACUAAACCGAGACUGACGCUGAGGCACGAAAGCGUGGGUAGCGAACAGGAUUAGAUACCCUGGUAGUCCACGCCGUAAACGAUGAUAACUCGAUGUGUGCGAUAUACAGUACGCGUCCAAGCGAAAGUGAUAAGUUAUCCACCUGGGGAGUACGUCCGCAAGGAUGAAACUCAAAGGAAUUGACGGGGGCCCGCACAAGCGGAGGAGCAUGUGGUUUAAUUCGAUGAUACGCGAGGAACCUUACCUGGGCUUAAAUGCAGGAUGAUUCAUGCCGAAAGGCGUGUUCCUUCGGGCAUUUUGCAAGGUGCUGCAUGGUUGUCGUCAGCUCGUGCCGUGAGGUGUCGGGUUAAGUCCCAUAACGAGCGCAACCCUUACUCCCAGUUGCCAUCACUUCGGGUGGGGACUCUGGGGGAACUGCCUACGCAAGUAGCGAGGAAGGUGGGGAUGACGUCAAAUCAGCACGGCCCUUAUGUCCAGGGCUACACGCGUGCUACAAUGGCCUGUACAGAGGGCAGCUACCCGGCGACGGGGUCCAAUCUCAAAAACGGGUCUCAGUUCGGAUCGGAGCCUGCAACUCGGCUCCGUGAAGUUGGAUUCGCUAGUAAUCGCGUAUCAGCAACGACGCGGUGAUACGUUCCCGGGCCUUGUACACACCGCCCGUCAAGCCAUGGGAGUCGGGGGUACCUGAAGUCGAUAACCGCAAGGAGUCGCCUAGGGUAAGACCGA